rnacentral:rRNA from 1 species
GACGAACGCUGGCGGCGUGCUUAACACAUGCAAGUCGAACGAAGUGGCGGACGGGUGAGUAAUACGUGGGUAACCUGCCCUCCUUCUUGGGCUAAGCCUUGGAAACGGGGUCUAAUAACAACGAAAGGGGGAUGGGCUGGCGGCCUAUCAGCUUGUUGGUGGGGUGAUGGGCUACCAAGGCGGUGACGGGUAGCCGGCCUGAGAGGCAGACCGGGAACAGUGGGACGGCCAUACCGCCCAGGGGCCGAAGGGGUGGAGAAGUUGGGGAUAUGGCACAAAGGGCGAUAGCCUGAUGCAGCGGGGCCGCGGGGGGUAUGAGGGCUGUAAGGUUGUUAACGUGGUGCGCAAUCUGACCGUUAGGUGGAGAAGAAGCGCCGGCUAACUACGUGCCAGCAGCCGCGGUAAUAC